rnacentral:rRNA from 1 species
GACGAACGCUGGCGGCGUGCUUAACACAUGCAAGUCGAACGGUAAGGCCCUUCGGGGUACACGAGUGGCGAACGGGUGAGUAACACGUGGGUGAUCUGCCCUGCACUUCGGGAUAAGCCUGGGAAACUGGGUCUAAUACCGGAUAGGACCACUGCCUGCAUGGGUGGUGGUGGAAAGCUUUUGCGGUGUGGGAUGGGCCCGCGGCCUAUCAGCUUGUUGGUGGGGUGAUGGCCUACCAAGGCGACGACGGGUAGCCGGCCUGAGAGGGUGACCGGACACACUGGGACUGAGAUACGGCCCAGACUCCUACGGGAGGCAGCAGUGGGGAAUAUUGCACAAUGGGCGCAAGCCUGAUGCAGCGACGCCGCGUGAGGGAUGACGGCCUUCGGGUUGUAAACCUCUUUCAGCACCGACGAAGCGCAAGUGACGGUAGGUGCAGAAGAAGGACCGGCCGACUACGUGCCAGCCGCCGCAGUAA